GACGAACGCUGGCGGCGUGCUUAACACAUGCAAGUCGAACGGAAAGGCCCUGCUUUUGUGGGGUGCUCGAGUGGCGAACGGGUGAGUAACACGUGAGUAACCUGCCCUUGACUUUGGGAUAACUUCAGGAAACUGGGGCUAAUACCGGAUAGGAGCUCCUGCUGCAUGGUGGGGGUUGGAAAGUUUCGGCGGUUGGGGAUGGACUCGCGGCUUAUCAGCUUGUUGGUGGGGUAGUGGCUUACCAAGGCUUUGACGGGUAGCCGGCCUGAGAGGGUGACCGGCCAACAUGGGAAUGGGAUACGGCCCCGACUCCUACGGGAGGCAGCAGUGGGGAAUAUUGCACAAUGGGCGGAAGCCUGAUGCAGCAACGCCGCGUGCGGGAUGACGGCCUUCGGGUUGUAAACCGCUUUCGCCUGUGACGAAGCGUGAGUGACGGUAAUGGGUAAAGAAGCACCGGCUAACUACGUG
rnacentral:rRNA from 1 species